GCCUGUUUUCUGAAGGUCUGGUUCUCUUUCUCUAUAUCUGCUGCUUUCUACUUGGAAAAUGUAUUCUUCAAAAUAUUCCUCAGAGGAAACCUGCAGAAUUUCUCUUCAUUUCCAGAUGAAGAAACAGACUCACAGAAAAGAAGCAUCUCUCCCAAGGUCACAGGGAGAGACCAGAACUUGGAGUUCCCAACUCCCCAAUUUCCCACCUCCUUCAUUUUCCUACCCAACAGCCAAAAUGAUCAUUGGACAGAUUCACACAGCUCAGGGAGAUGCUCGGGAAGCCUUAGGACAAUUGCCGGCAUUUCCGUUCAACCUCAGCACUCAGUGCCUUAGUCAGUGCUUUCAACAGUCCUGAUAAGAAGCCCCCCAAAGCCAAGUGUGACCUUCACUGGAACCCCUGUGCAUCUCAGUCCACCUGCCUGCUGUCCUCUGACUCCACCAGCAGCUCUCCCAGAAGCAUCACGGUUCUCUUAGUUUUCUCCUUGAUGCUUGCUGCCUUCCACCCAGCCUCUCCAGCUGACCUUCUCUGCACAAGCACAGGCACAGAGUGCUUACGGAAGCCCAGACUCUUGUAUGCUGCCUGGCCUGGAUGUGGACUGUGUGGGCUAGACCGAUGACUGCUGCAGCAGGUCAGGGGAUACAGCUGAGUCUAACUCGAUGGGAAGUCAUGACCUCGGAUGCAAGGCCAGCUCCAUCAGGCCAAGCAACUUCUCAAAAGCAAAGCCAGGCAAAGUCACAGUCACCACCAGGACAUUGGACACAACUUCUAGUUUGGCCCUUCCUCACCGAGAUGCUCUGGGUUGGAAAUGUGUCCCUCUCACCUGGACUUUCCACACCUUCCCUGGAAACAAGAUGAAGCACAAAACUCAGGUCAAAGCAGCCACUGUGCCAGAGAGAUUCAGUGAUAACAGAGGAGUAAUAACAGAGGAGCAUUCAGGGCUUCACCACGGCUGCAGAAGUUUCAGAGGGUAGUGGGGCCAGGAAUUCCUUGUGUCCGGCCUUCACCGUUGGUGAGGCUGGGCUGAAUGAAAGGAGAACAAAUGGAUUUGUUGCUUUGCUUAUAUGCCCACGCGGACCGCCCAG
ensembl:lncRNA